rnacentral:lncRNA from 1 species
CACACACACACACACACACACACACACACGUAUUUUAAAUGUAAUUUAAUUCAAUUAAUCAAUUUAAUUCAAAUGUGAUUGAAAAAAUGACCUUGAGCAAUAGUACCCCAGUACUGUCCGGUAUGGGCAGGAAGCCUGCCAUGUGUCCAAGGCUGGUGCCAAGGUGACACCUCUGAUCCCCAAGAAAAAGGAAACCAGAGUCAGUAUCUUAAACGUGAGGACCAGCCUCAUUCCCCCAAGGCUUAACAGAAAAAAGCCCAUCACUACCUCUCAGAGAGCAGAGAGUACCACCUUGCCAGCAACUCGGGAAACUUCCCUUUUCUUGGCAAGUGUUGAGAUGGGACUGGAGAGGUGGCUCAGCUGGCAGAGUGGUUGCUACCCAAACACAAGGACCUGAGUUCAAUCCCCACCAGGUGUGGCUGUGCGGGGCAGUAGGGAGGAGGAAACAGGAAUUUUCCUGGGCUCACCUGCCAGCGAGUGCAUUUGUAUUGGUGAUCUGAGUUUCGAUGAGGAGAGACCUAGUCUCAAGACAAUAAGAGGAGAGCAAUUUGGGAAAAAAAAGGCAUCACAGGUUAAGGGCAGGCAUGGGGCUGGGGAUAGCCUGUGUGAGAGACAGUGGAACAACUGCUCCAUUGGAACAAUUGUUCCUCUGGGACAAUGGAACUCUGUGUGGCAGUUUUAUGUGUACCGGGCUAAAUGUGCAACCACACCAGGAAAUGCUUAGCCCUUUUCCUGUAGCCCAGCUGAUGGGGUUGGGGAGGACCCUGUCUUGCUAACAUAGCUGGGUGAGUUCUGCGCACCCCCUCCCCAUGAGAACUUCCUCUAAAACACUGGACUUUUUGGUCUCACUUUUCCUAUCUGCUUUGGAGCUAACAGGACAGAAGCAGAGGCUUGUGAAUGGCCAAGGCAGGUGACUAAGAGGAAGAUGCUGGUGCUUUGAACCUGAGCACAGGCCCUGGGCAGAAGUAAGGCUUCAAUGAACUGUCCACUGCUGUGCCAGCAAACAGGCACAGGGUCUGGCUCCCUCGUAUCCAAAUCACAACUGGCUUUGACUUUCCCUUUUCAGAGCUUAGUAAUGAAAUAACGUGUUGCCCGCUCCCUGUUGGGGACUUUGAUUUUGUGUCAAAGCAUCUCCUUCAACCUGCUGGACAGGGAUUCCCACAUAUGAUUCUAUUUGCAUCACUGCCUGCUCCUGGUAGGUAUUCCUGGGCCUCUUACUUUCCCAGUAUAUUCGUGAUUGUAAAAAUGACAGUGUCCUUUUCUUUAACUUUCGAGAGCCCACUUUGAUUGAUUUUGCAGUGGGAGAGGUCUGGGCUUUGCUGUGCUGUAGUGGGAAUUUGAAAGGAGGGGACUGUGUGCCCCACAGGCUGUUAGAGGUCAGACUGUCUCCUGUCCUUGUUGAGGAUGCAGGGCCCCUGGAAGGAGGGGGGUUGGCCACAGCACUGCUGAGGCCCUCGCUGUGUUCCAGGGCAGCUCCCGGACACCGUUCCCAGCUCCCAUUGCUUCAGACCUUACACUUUAAAGAGGAGAAGAGAAGUGAAUGUAUUUUGUCUUUGAUCUCUGGUUCUUGUGGCCCUUUGGGGGAUCACUCACUUGUGGUACCAGUCCAUAUUUUCGUAGUUCUCAGGUGCCCAGUGACCACAGGCUGACCUAACCACGGCUGGCACUGCCCCUCCAAGAACCUUUCCUCUGGGGCAGGGUAUCCACCUGGACCAGAGGGCACUGGAGUUUGAGUGGACAGGUACAGACCCAGGCUUUGUGGAUGUGCCCUCUAGUGGGUGCCACAGCCCAGUACCCCUUCUUAUAGCUGCCAACUGGAGCACCUCCCUUCCAGGCAUCCACGCAGCUACCUGCACUGAGAGCCUUUGGAAAUCCGGUCUGCCCAUGUAAGGGAGGGUGCUGACCACAGGAACCACCAGUGGAUGCUAAGAAAGGGUGUCCCCACCCACAAGGGGCAGUUCUGGGAGGUCAGGUGCAGUGUAAGGGUAGAAUGGAAUUGUGGAUUCUGUAGGGAAAGCAGAGUUAGUAAAGGGUUGAACCUGGGCCUAGCAGGUCUGACUGAAUGUCACUCCCCGGUCCCCUGAAUGAUGGAGAGGCCUCCUGGAAUGGAGGUGCAGCUGGACAUGCAUAUUCCAGUCUUGUUGCUUUUCCACACUUUCUGUGACAGCUGUAGAUGGCUGGCAGUUUCCAGUCCUGUGGAAGCAGAGAAGAGAGGUUUCUCCUCUCUUCCAGUUGUGUUCUCAGCAUCGACCAGUAGGUGGCGCAGUGGAGCUGGAGCACUGUCAGGUUCAGGCAGAUGCUGGUACCAGCAGAUUCAACAGGAAUCAUCCUGCUAGAUUUGGCUGGUUGGUUUUUACCGUGUAAACUUCAUGUUAGGACUCAGACGUGGCAUUGUGUAACACCUGACAGUAAGUGGGAGCUCAGUGUGUCCCCAGUCCUGCCUGACAUCCCAGGAAGCCAUUAUUUGGUCAGCAUGGCCAGAAAUGACAGUUUAUGAAUAUCAGUGCAUUUUGGGAUGUGUGUUUCUUUGUUGAGUCUGGUUUGUUCUUGUUGCAGACACUUUUCAUGCAAAGAUUAAUUUAAAAUAGUGUUUUUAUAUGUCAUAUCUUUCCGUCCCUGCACCCUAGUGGGUUUAUUUGCUUAAAACCAGAAUUGAAUGAGUAAUCUUAAAUUUAACAGUAUAAACUUCUAUACAUGGAAUGCCUGAUAUGGUGGCACAUACCUACAGUCUGGUACCAUAGAGGCUGAGGCAGGAGACUAGUGACUUUAAAGUCACACUAUGCUAUGUAGGAAGACUCUGUCUUUAAGCACAUACAAGGUUAUCCCUCAGUUGUUUUCUUUUUUAAUUUCCGGUGGAAUAAACACAAUUUAAAGAUUACCCACUAUUGAGCCAGGCAGAGAAUGUCCUCAGAGCCAGAGUCUGCAUCUCCCUUGUAUUCCCUUCCCUGCCUGUGUCAGCUCCCCUGUGCCAGCAUCUCCUCAUUCCUUCCCUGACCCCCUGCCCGGCAGUUCCUGGUCUUUGUGCAAUAAGAUACACAUUCCAGGUGGAAAAGGUCUCCCCAAGGCCAUGGGAACCCCACUCCACCCUGCCCUGUUCAGCUCUUGAAUAGCCAGCUAGGGCUGCCUCUGCCCUCAAGCUACAGAUGUGUGGAAACAGGAGAGAGCUUGCCACUCAGACUUCCAUGUUUGGAGGCUCCCAGAAGGCCUUGGGGUAUAACCAUGGCCAUACCUCACUGCCCAUCCUAUAGAGCCAGGAGGCCCAAAAAGGCAGGCUGAGAUGUUGGGUAAAACCAUGCCUGCACCUCAUUGCCUUGCAGGGAUAAGCGCACCCUCUUGCAGGCAGGUGGAGGUGCCUUCAACCUUAGUGUGACCUGGGCUGGUGUUCUGGAAGCCUCAGCGCUACACUGUCACAUCGUUCAUCCUUGACGGAGGGAGGCUUAGCACAUCCUUCUCCCUCAUAACUCACAGAGCAGGAAGGCAGAAGCAAUGUCCUCAAAGCUCAGGCCUGAGUGAUUCCCACAAAACACCCAAUACCUUUUUUUUGGAUGAUGGGGGUAUGAUGUCAGUGUUUUGUGCAUGGAGGUGAACUCUUCAUGAACAAAGCCCUUGAAGAAUGAAACCUGUUACUCGUGAAUGCUCUGGUUUAUAGCUGCCCAUUCCUGGCACUGAGCAUGUCAGAAUCUCACCCAUGUGUUGAAAACCUGGACCAAUUGUCAAAUGGGCUGCACUGUGGGGCUGGCCCGACCCUGCUAGUCCUUCCCAGAGACCUCACCUCUCCAGAGGCCCCUGGUCUUUAGAGCAAAGCACAGUUGGCCCCACAAUCCCUGCUGUGCAGGAGGGGCGUGCUCUGGACUUAGGUGGUCUUAGCCCAAGUCUCCCAGCCCUGUGUGCUGUCCCCUGUCAGUGUGUUUGUGGACAUGAGCACUGUGUAGCUGUGUCUGUUCUGUGCUGGUCUGUUGACUUCUAUGACUACCCACAAAUAAAUAUUUUCACUGCA